CUUUGUGACAUACCUAUAACUGUUGCUUCGGCGGGUAGGGUCUCCGUGACCCUCCCGGCCUCCCGCCCCCGGGCGGGUCGGCGCCCGCCGGAGGAUAACCAAACUCUGAUUUAACGACGUUUCUUCUGAGUGGUACAAGCAAAUAAUCAAAACUUUUAACAACGGAUCUCUUGGUUCUGGCAUCGAUGAAGAACGCAGCGAAAUGCGAUAAGUAAUGUGAAUUGCAGAAUUCAGUGAAUCAUCGAAUCUUUGAACGCACAUUGCGCCCGCCAGCAUUCUGGCGGGCAUGCCUGUUCGAGCGUCAUUUCAACCCUCAAGCUCUGCUUGGUGUUGGGGCCCUACAGCUGAUGUAGGCCCUCAAAGGUAGUGGCGGACCCUCCCGGAGCCUCCUUUGCGUAGUAACUUUACGUCUCGCACUGGGAUCCGGAGGGACUCUUGCCGUAAAACCCCCAAUUUUCCAAAGGUUGACCUCGGAUCAGGUAGGAAUACCCGCUGAACUUAAGCAUAUCAAUAAGCGGAGGAA
rnacentral:rRNA from 1 species